UACGUAGGGGGCAAGCGUUGUCCGGAUUUAUUGGGCGUAAAGAGCGUGUAGGCGGCCAGACAGGUCCGUUGUGAAAACUCGAGGCUCAACCUCGAGACGCCGAUGGAAACCGUCUGGCUAGAGUCCGGAAGAGGAGAGUGGAAUUCCUGGUGUAGCGGUGAAAUGCGCAGAUAUCAGGAAGAACACCCGUGGCUAAGGCGGCUUCCUGGUCCAGCACCGACGUUCAGGCACGAAAGCGUGGGGAGCAAACAGG
rnacentral:rRNA from 1 species